AUAUUUAUAUGUGAGGCUUUGAUCCUGUCAUAUUGUUAAUUGCUUUCAAAUUGUUUUAUAAAUUCUUUGUUUCUUUUUCUCUAAUUUUGUCUUUGUGGUUUGAUGAAAUUAUCAUGUUGUCAUUUUAUUCUUCUCUCUUCCUCCUUUCUGUGAUUGCUUUAUAAGAACUCUGAGUUUCAUAUUUCCAGGUGUUUUCAUGAUGGUGAAUAUUAACUUUUCAUUUCCAUUUUUAAGACGCCUUUGGCCAUUUCCUGUAGGGCCAGUCUAGUGGUGACAGAUUGUCUGAGCAUUUGCUUGUCUAAUAAAAACUUUAGUUCUCCUUCAUCUAUGAAGUAUAUUCUGGAAGGAUAUAAAAUUCUUGGCUGAUAGUUUUUUUUUUCUUUCAGCACUUUGAAAGUGCCAUCCUAUUCUCUUGUGGCCUGUAAGGUUCCUGCUGAAAUGUCCGAUAUUAGACUGAAGGGGUUUCUUAUAUUGAUAAGGUGAUAUGUAUUGUCCUAAGCUUAGGAGAGCUUGCUCUUUCCUGUCCUUCCCAUGGCUAGGUGAUGAGUGCAGCCAUGUUGCCUCAAACUUGGCUUAACAGUGAGGCACAGCCUAGUGUUAAACUCUCAAAAUGGUGCCUUGGGCCUGGGACCAGAAAGAGUCCACAUCACCAAAUCAAAACUAAGUUGUUAUCUGACUUUCUAAAAUCAGGAAAGAGAGAAAAUAUCCAACUUCCCAAACAGGAGCUUCAGUUGGAAUGAAUAGCGAAGUUUCCUGUUUUAAUCCUUAACCUGAAAUAACCUAAUGUUAACCAAACAGUUAUUUUUCUAUUGUUGUGUCUCCCAGCUCCCACCAUAGGCAGAGAGAAUGGGAUUGUUAUUCUAAUUGACAUUUAGAAAUGUCAAAGAGGCUGGGUAUGGUGGCUCAUGCCUAUAAUCUCAGCACUUUGGGAGGCUGAGGUGUUCAAAUGUCAAAUGCAGUCUUUUCAGCUGGAAUGACAAAAACUCAAAGAAAUGCAAGAUCAUAUAUACACCAUAACCUAUGAAGGACAUGUUGAAACUGCAACCCAGCACAACUGAAAGCAGCACUAUUGACCUAGGUCAAUAGGUCAGGCUUUGGCCUGACCAAAAGGGGAAAAUUAUUAAAUAAAAAUUAUAGGAGGCCAUUGUUUUGGACUAAGCACCUGCACGAGGCCCAAGAUGACCAGCCUAAACUUCAAAAAUGAAGUCCCAACUGGGAGCAGUGGCUCAUGCCUGUAAUCCCAGCACUUUGAGAGGCUGAGGUGGGCAGAUCACUUGAGGCCAAGAGUUCAAGACCAGGCUGGCCAACAUGGUAAAACCCUGUCUCUACCAAAAAAUAUAAAAACUUAGUCGGGCGUGGUAGUGUGCACCUGUAGUCCCAGCUACUUGGGAGGCUAAAGCAUGAGAAUGUGUUGAACCUGGCAGGCAGACUGCAGUGAGCUAUGAUCGCGCCACUGCAUUCUAACUUGGGUGACAGAGAGAAACUGUCUCAAAACAACAACAACAAAAAACACACAGAAAUGAAGUCGCCCAUGCUAAAGUUCCACAUAACUAAAACCAAGUUGUUACCGGACUGCCAGAAAAAUCAGGAGAGAGAGAUAGCCUAAUUUCCGAAACAGGCCAGUUUCAAUUGGCAUAAUAAUAAAUUUCUGUCUGUUCUGAUCUUUAACCUAUAUUUUUGGCUACCUGUUCCUGCCAUACAAGGAAAGUAACUUUGAAACUACCAAUCCACUUUUUCUUUGUUUCUGCUUUCUUUAGUCCUUUUUUUUUUGCCUAUGAAGCCAACUUCCUCUGCUUGAUUUCCUAGGACGCUUAUUCUAUAAUAGAAUGAAGUACUGCCUGAUAAUAGAAUCCCAAAUGCAGCUAACUGAGAUCUUUACAGUAAAUUUGUUACAAUUUUGUGUUUUGAUGAGUAAAGUUGAAAGUCAUAGAUAGAUAUUCUCAGGCCUUGAGAGGCUGGUCCUCAGAGGCUGAAAUUACAAAGACGGGUUAUCUAUUAAGUACAGACAUACAUUAUACAUACAGAUAUACACUAUAUUAACGGUGUUAAAAUUUAAUGGGGGCAAGGAAUGAUUAGGGAAAAAAGUCUAAAAACGCUCUUUAGAAGAACAAUAAUGCAAAAAAGAUUGAGAAACACUGCUCUUGUCCCUCCAGUACAUUACUAUGAAUGUUAAACACUGGCUCCUAAUAUAAGAUCAACCUGGAGGUAACUGAACAAUGCAGAAAAGAGCAGAGCUCUUGGAACAAGGGGCUAGCUGGAAGGGUUAAGGGAUGUAUUCAGGAUCCUGGGUUAGAAAAUGGGGGCUCAGGUUCUGGCUCCACAACUCAUAUAGUGUAGGUUUUGGAAAGCUGUUUAACUUUAAACACUAGUUUCUUCUAUUGUAAAAUAGAACUGUUGAUAAUAUUAAUGUUGUAGAGAUCUUAUGAAGAUCAAAUUCUUAAAAAGUUACGUGAAGGAAGCUUUGCAAAACUAUGGGGUCAGAAAACAGUCAGAAGUUACCAGUGGCUGGGGUAAGAGGAGGAGUCAACUAAAAGGGGCAUGAAGGAAUUGUUUGGAAUGAUGGAAAUGGCCUGUAUCUUUUUUUUUUUUUGAGACAGAGUCUCACUCUAUCACCCAGGCUGGAGUGCAGUGGCAUGAUCUCAGCUCACUGCAACCUCCGCCUCCCGGGUUCAAGCAAUUCUCCCGCCUCGGCUUCCUGAGUAGCUGGGAUUACAGGUACAUGCCACCACGCCUGGCUAAAUUUUGUAUUUUUAGUAGAGGCGGGGUUUCACCAUGUUGGCCAGGCUGGUCUCGAACUCCCGACCUCAGAUGAUCCAACCACCUCGGCCUCCCAAAGUGCUGGGAUUACAGGUGUGAGUCACCGUGCCAGCCUGGGCUAUAUGGCUGUAUCUUAAUUGUGGUAGUGGUUAUGACUGUCUGAGAGCAAUAUACUAAAAAAGAUACAUUUUAUAGCAUGUAGAUUGUACUUCAGGAAAACUAACUCUCUAAAAUAAUGCUUUGCAAACUGGUAUUAAACUAGAUCUUUCUAGUCCUGAUCUCUCUUGAGAAUCAAAGUUCAAGACUAAACAUUUAUUCACUGUAAGUAUCAAUUUGCUAAGCUUCUAGACAUUCUUUCUACCUACAAUAACUUUUUUUACAAAACUAAUAUUUUUGUAGUUUUCUUCACCUUUAUUUCUAGCCUUGCUAUUCAACAUAUUAGUUAUCCUCACC
rnacentral:lncRNA from 1 species